GGAGUUGUGGCUCAGUGGUAGAGUGCUUGCCUAGCAUGUAUGAGGCACUGGGUUCAAUCCUCAGUACCCCA
rnacentral:tRNA from 1 species